rnacentral:rRNA from 1 species
CACGGAGUUAGCCGAUCCUUAUUCAUAAGGUACAUGCGAAGCGGGACGCGUCCCGCACUUUAUUCCCUUAUAAAAGAGGUUUACGAACCAUAGAUCCUUCAUCCCUCACGCGACUUGGCUGGUUCAGGCUUACGCCCAUUGACCAAUAUUCCUCACUGCUGCCUCCCGUAGGAGUCUGGUCCGUGUCUCAGUACCAGUGUGGGGGACCUUCCUCUCAGAACCCCUAUCCAUCGUCGGUUUGGUGGGCCGUUACCCCGCCAACUGCCUAAUGGAACGCAUGCCUAUCUAUCAGCGAUGAAUCUUUAGCAAAUAUUCCCAUGCGGGAUCCCUGCUUCAUGCGGUAUUAGUCCGACUUUCGCCCGGGUUAUCCCCCUCUGAUAGGCAAGUUGCAUACGCGUUACUCACCCGUGCGCCGGUCGCCGGCGGCGUAUUGCUACACCCCGCUGCCCCUCGACUUGCAUGUGUUAAGCCUGUCGCUAGCGUUCAUCCUGAGCCAGGAUCAAAACU